rnacentral:rRNA from 1 species
ACUUUGGAGAGUUUGAUCCUGGCUCAGAACGAACGCUGGCGGCGUGGAUUAGGCAUGCAAGUCGUGCGAGAAAGUCCGCUUCGGUGGAUGAGUAAAGCGGCAAACUGGUGAGUAACAGGUGGGUAACGUGCCCGGGAAUAGGGAAUAACUCCUGGAAACAGGGGCUAAUACCGUAUUCAGUCACACUGUCCCAGGACAGAGUGAUUAAAGGUGUCUUGAUUUCGGUUAAGGCGCUGUUCCCGGAUCGGCCCGCCCCCGAUUAUGCUAGUUGGUGGGGUAACGGCCUACCAAGGCUGCGAUCGGUAGCUGGUCUGAGAGGAUGGUCAGCCACAAUGGGACUGAGAUACGGCCCAUACUCCUACGGGGGGCAGCAGUCUAGAGGC